GACCUGAUAUCAGGCAAGA
rnacentral:rRNA from 1 species